ACAUAGUUAUUAGUAGAGCUAUGAGGAAUCGGUAAAAUGCUUUUAAAAAUCCAAAAGACUAUGCCGAGUGUUCCUCGUGACUUAGAUCUACUGAAAAUGAUGCUAGUAUGCUUACCACAAAUAAUGAAGCUAGCUACAAAAAUAUCGGAAAAUACUAAAUAGUAUUAUAACUAUAUUAAGAUUGAACUUUCAACUGAUCCAAGGAAACGUGAGUUUCUUAGUUUUAUAGCUAGUUUACACAGCAAAGCAACUUAUGAGUCUUACGCUAAUUUCUAAAAAUAAUCAUAGCAUCAGAUUAUAGAAAAUAUCGAACAGUGAAAGUUAUGUAUCAUACUAUGCAUAGUAUAUAUUGCUGAAGCCAUGGCCAAAACAAUUUUAAUUAUCAAAACGAUUU